rnacentral:lncRNA from 1 species
ACCAACAGCUGCUCUACAUUUACGAGAGUGUCCAGGGUCAUGUAAGCAACUCCCAAAUUGUGCACAGGCUUGCCGAGAGAAAGGAUUUCCAAAGGGAGGUGAAUGUAUUAAUAUUAAUCCUUUUGUUUUAACUUGUUGUUGUUUUGACUAAUGAGAGUUAUGGUUGAGAGGGCUUAAACUUCCAUAAUCAAGAAAAUAAUUAUGCGUCAACUAGUUAUAAUCUGGUUGAUGUCUUAAGUUUGGCUCUUUUCAACCAUAAUUUGGUAAACCAAGGUUCUUUUACCCGUAUGAAUUAAAUAAUCAUGUCAUGUUGGC